AGAUCCUUCCCUCCGCACCGCCCCUCCGCGACUCCUCUCCCGUUCCCCAUCGCGCCCCCGCCCAAGCGCCGCGCCGCCGGAACCCCAGGCGCGCCCUCCUCCGGACGGCGCUCGCCCUCCUCCCCCGUCCCCGGCCGUCUCUCUCUCUCCGUGUCGUCCGAGGCGGCGCAUCUACCGGGGAUCCAGCGAUGGUGAGUUCGUUCGUCCUUCUGUACUUGUGCUCUCCCUCCUCCUACACGCUCGCCUCUCUAGCUAGCAACGGCUCGUGGCCAGGAUUUGAGCCGGCGGGGCGGCUGGAUCCGUUGGAGCCGGACACAGGGGCUUGGGUGGAGUGAGUGGCCGGUGAUUAAGGACUAGGCGGCGGCUAUGCACAUGUGGCUGGUGCAUGCAUGAGCAAGAGAAAUGGAUGUCUGCGCAUGUGGCUGGUGCAUGCAUGAGCAAGUCAGCAAGAGUAGUCUGCCCUCCUUCUCUUCAUAGGAAAUUUCUUGCUGUUCCAGAUUCUUGCAUGCUAAUUUGUUGGCAGAACUUCUGAUUACGUAAUAGCUAGAUUUUGUAUUAUUUUUUGUUAACAGAACGGGCGGUGAUGGUUAAAAGAAAACCAUCGAUGCAUUUUACAUAAGAAAGAGAGUUAUGUGAAGAACAUUAACUGAAUCAGAACACCCUGUUCAGCCUCCGCUUUUGUUGUAGAUGUUCUUGUGCAAAUUUAGAGCAUUAAGAAACGAAGAGCUGAUCUAUAUAGUGUGAUCAACUCAAUACUUCAUCAUUAAAUAAUAUUUUGGUACAAUUUCAUUUUCUGGAUGCGCUACUGAAUCUUCUCUUCGAGCAGAGCACCCGCGAUGGACGGAGACGGCUUCGAUAUGUGGGGUUCGCAGCCGUAUUGUAGUACAAAGCAAACUAGAAUUAUUGUUGCUUGUAUGGCUCUUCAUAAUUUCAUUCGAGAGAGCAGAAUUCCGAACCCUUGGUUUGUAAAUAUCAUUUGUUUGUGUCAAUUGUGAGUGGGAGGAGGCCACAUAAGAGCUGGCCACACCAAAUCCGGAAGGAAAUAGG
rnacentral:lncRNA from 1 species